CUUACAAUACUUUUUUUCCUCUUCUCAUUCACUUAAAACGAAAAUGGAUGUCAAGUGAGUUUGCAAUUUUUUUUGUUUCCUACAAUAUUUGAUUGAGAAAUAAUCGCAGAAAACCUCGCGCAUAAAAAGGAGAUCAUUUACUUAAAAGGCGAGAUAGCCAGAUUGAAAGAAGUGGCAAAGCUUUGUAAGAAUGAUUACCAUAAUCGGAUGCGCACCGUUACAUCGCUAUUGUACGCAGAGGUGCCGCCGGCGGUUGUGUCUCCCAUACAAACGCUUCCUCCAAUACACUCAACCAUGCAAACGAUCAAUCCAACAGACUCGCCGUUGCAAGCGUCAACCCCAAUACACUCGCCCUUGCAAGCGUCCACAUCCGCAAGUGCGCCGCGUCAAAAAAGAAAAAAAGUAAGGACAAAUUAUCUUUGCUCCAUUUGUAAGCGGUCCUUGAGGCUGUCAAAAUUGGGGGGGUGCGGAACACACGGAGAUGUGCAGAAAGUCUUUCCUGUAUCUUGCCAAGAGUGCGGGGUGUCAUUUUUGAGCGAGUCGUUAUUACUCUCGCACAUUUAUGGCAAACAUAGGAAGCGAAAAUUGAGUAGUCACGCCGCGGGAAGUUAUAGACACGCCGCAAAGCGAGCGUGACUCGCAGUUGGAGAGGAUGUUGAGCAACACACCCUAAUUGUUUAUUUUAAUUUUAUUAUUAGAAGUAAG